AAAUAAGAGUGUAGUGGGAAGAGUUACAAGUGAUUUAGGGCUUAUAAGAAACUAUAAAGCGGUUAUUUUACCUUUUGUAUAAGGGGGGCAGGAGCUUAUUGAAGAUGCAGAUUCCCCAAACCAUGAGAUAUUAGAGUCAAGCCCUGCAGAAAUGUGGGGAUUAGGGUCUAAAGUAGUGAUAUUCUAUCGAUUAUGGUAUAAGUGGGCAGAGUGUGAGGGGGUAAGCCUCUUUGGUGGUUUUAUUAUUAAACGUAGUAUGAUAAGGCUUUAAAGUGUAAUAGUGUUAUUACAAACUGAGUGGGUAUAGAAUUUGAUUACGUUAAAAUCAGUACAAUCGGGAUAAUAGUUCUGAUAUGUUAAUCUGUUUAUGAGUAAUUACAGCAUAAUGGUGGCAGUUGGUAGACGUGACAUUUCAAUUGGGUCAUUUGAUAAAUGUUUAUUAAAAACAUUUCUAUAUUUAUAUAUAGUAGCCCCUGCCCGCUGAGAGUUUGAAGGGCCGUAGUAAGUUGACUAUGCUAAGGUAGCAUAAUAAUUAGGUUGUUAAUUGCAAUCUGGAAUGAAGGGGGGAAUAUUUGAAUGAGGGUGAUUGUGGCGUGAGGAGAAAUUACUUUAAAGUGAAAAUGCUUUAAAAGGGAAAAAGACGGAAAGACCCCGGAAGCUAGGUAAUGUUUUACUUUGUUGGGGCAAUAGGUGAGAAGAUACGUCUCACUGUUUAAGUUACUCCGGGGAUAACAGGGCUAUCAACCUCACAGGUUGGUUUGCUACCUCGAUGUUGGAUCACCCAUCAAGUAGUCUGUUCGACUUUAAGAGGGUACGUGAUCUGAGUUUAGAUCGGCGUGAGCCAGAUCGGUUCUUAUCUUUUAUGGGCUUCUUGUAGUACGAAAGGGGUCAGGAGGACUAAU
rnacentral:rRNA from 1 species